GUCAUCCAAAUCAAAAUUCCAAGUCGGGAUCCCGGGCCUCUUUCUAAAACUCCAACCUGAGAUCACUGACGUCAUGAUUCAACCUUUUUUUCAGUGUUCCCAGUUGUCUUGAAAGCACCAUAAAUCCAGAGAAUGCCAGACUUUAAUAACAAAGUUUGAUGACAAAAUUUGCCCACAAAAGACCGCCGUGCCACCUUCCCGUUCAAGUGAGCACAGCUGAACAAGCGGCCCUUGUGUCAUGCUCAAACUGCCACAGAAGAAAUGGGAGUGGAGAACACAGAGGAAUCUGCCAGGAUUUCAGCAUGGUUCUCUUAUUCUGCUUGGUAUGAUGAGGAGCUUUCACUGAAGACGGAGUUCACCGGUAUUUUCCCCCACAGUCGCCAAGCAAUGGAAUAACUCUCGGAGUGGUUGCGAAGGGAAAAUGACUCAGCUGCUGUUCCAGUUUACCAGAUUCCCAGGAACACUUGGGCAAUUCCACGGUGACAGAGUGACUCUAAGACUCACUUUUUCACCUUAAAGUAUAUGCCAAGCAAGAUCGAGUCAUGCGUCCCCCAAAACAUGACCCGCCGCGCUUCUUAACACUCCCCCGCUUAACCCGGAAGCCAGCCGCACC
rnacentral:lncRNA from 1 species